AAAUAGGUCCUAUUCUGGACCAUACCAUUUAUAUAACAACAAAAUAU
rfam:Erinaceus europaeus unplaced genomic scaffold scaffold00071, whole genome shotgun sequence